rnacentral:lncRNA from 10 species
GAGAAAAAGUACAGAUUAAGAAUCUGCUUUACCACUAAGAUGACAAACUGUCCUGGUUUGCCCACGACUGACUUGGUUUUAGGACUGAAAGUCCUAUGUCCUGGGAAACCUCUUAGUUCCAUGAAAACUGGAAUGACUGCUCACCCUAUUAACCAUAUAAGGAAUUCACUAUAGAGCUUGUGCUGAUGGACAGGACCAUUCCGCAGUCAGAUGCCCACACACUGGAGGAAAGAAAUGCCCACAUAGGGCCAGGCCCAGUGGCUCACACCUGUAAUCCCAGCACUUUGGGAGGCUGAGGCGGGUGGAUCACCUGAGGUCGGGAAUUCAAGACCAGCCUGGUCAACACGGCAAAACCUUGUCUCUACUAAAAAUAGAAAAAUUACCCUGGCGUGGUAGUGCACACCUGUAGUCCCAGCUACUUGGGAGGCUGAGGCAGG